rnacentral:misc_RNA from 1 species
UUCUUAUAACUUUUGUUUUCAGAAAAUGCACUAGGUGUUCUGUGUUCAUUGAUCAAAAUGUCAAGUACCUCGUUUAUGCACAGACUGCACAUUUCCCGGCACAUUAUCUUACAAAACUUGUCGCCGAUCUGUUCAGUUUAUCCUUCUCAAUCUCACACCGUCUUUCUGAUUAAUCAAGCAUCAGAUGCAACAUGCGGCAGAGGAAUGAGUUCGCAGGUGACAACUGCUCAGAGUUCUACUGGACCCUGCUUCACUAAAACACAGGCUGUUCAAAUGAUUGAGAAACUAACAGUUGAAGAAAGGACUCUUUUUCUGAAGGAAUUGAAAAAAGUAAUCUCUCCAGCUGAACAAGGCCGGCCUUCUAACAGAGAUUUAUUACAGCUGGCCUAUCACAAUUCUCUUCCUUUUGUUGGUUUUGGAUUUCUUGAUAAUUUUAUCAUGAUAAUGGCGGGGGAGUACAUUGACCUAACUUUAGGGGUUACUUUUGGAAUCAGCACCAUGGCAGCAGCAGCACUAGGGAAUACUAUUUCUGACAUGAUGGGAAUAGGAUCUGCUUGGUAUGUUGAGACAAUAGCCUCCAAGCUCGGAGCUCAACCUCCAGACCUCUCUCCGGACCAGCUGGAGCAGUCAACCUCCAGGAUAGCAGCAAACUUGGGGAGAUGUUUGGGAGUAAUGUUUGGGUGUUUAUUAGGAAUGGUUCCACUUCUGUUUAUUACAACAAGUGAUGAGGAAAAAGAGAAGAAAGAACAAAGAAAGCAAGGGAAAAAUAAAGAAGAAUAAAAUAAAUUUUGAGAACAAAUAUCUUUUUGACAAUUGUUUUUGAAAGUUGCUCAUAUUCGCUUUCUUCCAUACCCUCAACCCCCCUCCUCAAUGUUUUCAAUCUUUGUGCCCCCCCCCUUCCUAUCCAAACUGUUGUGCCCCCCCUCUCACAUCUUUGACUGUUAUUUAGUACAAUUGAUAAUAAGAUAUAAGAUAACACAUGCAGCAUGCAGCAUGAAGUAUGCUACUUUAUAUAUAUACACUGUUCAAUAUACAGGGUGAGUCAAAAAACAAGGGUGAAUAGCGAGAGCAUAUAACUACUCAUCUAAUCUGUUCAAGAUUUCGAGAUGUUAGAACUAAUAUAUUCCCGCACUGUUUUUUUACUCGUCAAAUUUUGAGUAAAAAAUAUUUUCUUGGAUCUAUUAGAUUGCUUAAAAAAUCAAAAGUUUCAUAAAUAUUUUGUCAAAAAUGAGAUUACCAAAAAAAUGCUUUAUUUUAUACAAGAUUUCGCUAUUCACACUUUUUUGCUCUCCCCGUACACUGUACAUAUAUUGUUAAAUAUCUACGUUUUCAUUCCAAAUCUUCUUUUCCUCCUUGGAGACUUUUUUACUUUGUUUCGACAUUUUUCCCCUUACUCUAAACCUACUUAUGUCACCUCAGACCUUAGUUCUUCUCUUUUUUCUUUUCCCCAUUAAUUAGCUUUAAUCCUGAACUGUUCACAUAUUUCAACACGAUUUUUAAUAUAACUUUAUGUAUCGUAUUAUAGGACUGUACCUUUUGUGAGUGCCUAAUUCUGCAAGGGGAUUUUGGAAGAAAAAAAUGUCUUAGAAAUAAUAAAAUAUAUUUUUUUUUAAAAGAUCAAACAAAUUCGCAAAUAUUUUUCAACCGAAAAUAAUCUAUAUAUUUCAAAACAAAAUGUAUUACUUUUUUUCUCAACUGAAGUCUUUCAGCCAAUAAUAAACUACCCCUUGCAGGGCACAAUACAUGUAACCUUGGCCUUCUGAAAUGUGUAUCCCAGACCUCAUAAGUGUGACAAUUUUCAAAUGUUAUUUUUAAAGAAACUGUUUACGUGAUUUUAAGCAGUCUCUUGUUUAAAAAAAUGUUGAAUGGGUUGCCAUCAUGUAUGAUUUAUGUCACUUUGUAAUUUAAUAGUGUUUUUUAAAAAG